UACGUAGGGGGCAAGCGUUGUCCGGAAUCAUUGGGCGUAAAGAGCGUGUAGGCGGCCCGGUAAGUCCGCUGUGAAAGUCGAGGGCUCAACCCUCGAAUGCCGGCGGAUACUGUCGGGCUAGAGUCCGGAAGAGGCGAGUGGAAUUCCUGGUGUAGCGGUGAAAUGCGCAGAUAUCAGGAGGAACACCGAUGGCGAAGGCAGCUCGCUGGGACGGUACUGACGCUGAGGCGCGAAAGCGUGGGGAGCAAACAGG
rnacentral:rRNA from 1 species